rnacentral:rRNA from 1 species
GACGAACGCUGGCGGCGUGCUUAACACAUGCAAGUCGAACGGAAAGGCCCUGCUUGCAGGGUACUCGAGUGGCGAACGGGUGAGUAACACGUGGGUGAUCUGCCCUGCACUUCGGGAUAAGCCUGGGAAACUGGGUCUAAUACCGGAUAGGAGCCAUUUUUAGUGGGAUGGUUGGAAAGUUUUUUCGGUGUAGGAUGAGCUCGCGGCCUAUCAGCUUGUUGGUGGGGUAAUGGCCUACCAAGGCGGCGACGGGUAGCCGGCCUGAGAGGGUGGACGGCCACAUUGGGACUGAGAUACGGCCCCGACUCCUACGGGAGGCAGCAGUGGGGAAUAUUGCACAAUCGGCGCAAGCCUGAUGCAGCGACGCCGCGUGGGGGAUGACGGCCUUCGGGUUGUAAAAUCCUUUCGCUAGGGACUAAGCUUUUUGUGACGGUACCUAGAUAAGAAGCACCGGCUAACUACGUG